rnacentral:misc_RNA from 1 species
UCCAGCAGCCGCGGUAAUACGUUCCCGGGCCUUGUACACACCGCCCGUCACACCACGAGAGUUUGUAACACCCGAAGUCGGUGGGGUAACCCUUACGGGAGCCAGCCGCCUAAGGUGGGACAGAUGAUUGGGGUGAAGUCGUAGCAGGGUAGCCGUAUCGGAAGGUGCGGCUGGAUCAGCUCCUUUCUAUGGAUAACUCGAGAA